UACGUAGGGGGCAAGCGUUAUCCGGAUUUACUGGGUGUAAAGGGAGCGUAGACGUCCAGGCAAGUCUGAUGUGAAAGGCUGGGGCUCAACCCCGGGACUGCAUUGGAAACUGGUUGGCUAGAGUUCCGGAGGGGUAAGCGGAAUUCCUAGUGUAGCGGUGAAAUGCGUAGAUAUUAGGAGGAACACCAGUGGCGAAGGCGGCUUACUGGACGGCAACUGACGUUAAGGCUCGAAAGCGUGGGGAGCAAAC
rnacentral:rRNA from 1 species